rnacentral:rRNA from 1 species
CCUACGGGAGGCAGCAGUGGGGAAUAUUGCACAAUGGGCGCGAGCCUGAACCAGCCAAGUAGCGUGAAGGAUGACUGCCCUACGGGUUGUAAACUUCUUUUAUAAGGGAAUAAAGUGCGGGACGUGUCCCGUUUUGUAUGUACCUUAUGAAUAAGGAUCGGCUAACUCCGUGCCAGCAGCCGCGGUAAUACGGAGGAUCCGAGCGUUAUCCGGAUUUAUUGGGUUUAAAGGGUGCGUAGGCGGCCUUUUAAGUCAGCGGUGAAAGUCUGUGGCUCAACCAUAGAAUUGCCGUUGAAACUGGGAGGCUUGAGUAUGUUUGAGGCAGGCGGAAUGCGUGGUGUAGCGGUGAAAUGCUUAGAUAUCACGCAGAACCCCGAUUGCGAAGGCAGCCUGCCAAGCCAUGACUGACGCUGAUGCACAAAAGCGUGGGGAUCAAACAGGAUUAGAUACCCCGGUAGUC